UACAGAGGUCCCAAGCGUUGUUCGGAUUCACUGGGCGUAAAGGGUGCGUAGGUGGCCAGGUAAGUCGGAUGUGAAGGCUCGGAGCUCAACUCCGAAAUGGCAUUGGAAACUGCCUGGCUCGAGGGUUGGAGGGGGGACUGGAAUACUUGGUGUAGCAGUGAAAUGCGUAGAUAUCAAGUGGAACACCAGUGGCGAAGGCGAGUCCCUAGACAACUCCUGACACUGAGGCACGAAAGCUAGGGGAGCAAACAGG
rnacentral:rRNA from 1 species